UGAGCAAUCUGCCCUUCUCAUCGGAAUAACCAUUGGAAACGAUGGCUAAUGCCGAAUAUGACCUCGGAACACAUGUUCCGAGGUGGAAAGCUCCGGCGGAGAAGGAUGAGCUCGCGGCCUAUCAGCUAGUUGGUGUGGGUAAUGGCCCACCAAGGCGACGACGGGUAGCCGGCCUGAGAGGGUGACCGGCCACACGUGGGACUGAGACACGGCCCAGACCUCCGUAGGGA
rnacentral:rRNA from 1 species